CCUCAAUUCAAAAAUAAUAAAUAAAAAAAUUAGGGCUCUAAUUUGAUUUAGUGAUUAGAGUGUAAAACCUCUACUGAGUGUCCCUUUGCUUGGAUGAUUGCACCAUCCAAAGAGCAAAAAUCCAAAAUCAGAGAAAAUCAUGGUGUAUUUAAAACUAACAGUAGAAAAAGAUAAUGAUAAAAAAAAAAGACAAAGCCUGCUGAAUGGCGAUGUCAGUAGCUAGCUCAGGCCAGUCUGAUUUGUGUGUUUGCAUGUGUCUCUAUGUAUAUAUACAUAUAUGUGUGUGCGUAUAUAUAUACCUUAGAUUGUGAAAGUCCAGUAACCGAAAGUAUCACUAGCUUACAUUCUGAUCCGAAUAGCAUAAAGGUAGCCGAAAGUAUGAAUAGCUUACAUUCUGAUCCGAGUAGCAUGAAAGUAUGUGAAAUUCUGUGUGAAUCAACAAGGACCACUUUGCAAGGCUAAAUACUCCUGGGUGACCGAUAAUGAAGUAGUACUGUGAGGAAAAGAUAAAAAAACCCCUCAUCAGAGAGUAAAAUAGAAUAUGAAAACCGUAAGCUCCCAAGCAGUGGGAGGAGAAUGUAAUCUCUGACUAUGUGUUUGUGAAAAAAUGAGCCGGCGACUCAUAGACAGUGGCUUGAUUAAGGGAACCCAUCAGAGCCGCAGUGAAAGUGAGUCUUCAUAGGGCGAUUGUUAUUACUUACGGACCCAAACCUAGGUGAUCUAUCCAAGAUCAGGAUGAAGCUUGGGUGAAACUAAGUGGAGGUCUGAAUCGACUGAUGUUGAAAAAUCAGUGGAUACGUUGUGGUUAGGGGUGAAAUGCCACUCGAAACCAGAGCUAGCUGGUUCUCUCUGAAAUAUGUUGAGGUGCAGCAGUUGACUGAAUAUCUAGGGGUAAAGCAUUAUUUUGGUGCAGACCGCGAGAGUGGUACCAAAUCGAGGUAAACUCUGAAUACUAGAUAUGAUCCCAAAAUAACAAGAGUCAAGAUCGGCUAGUGAGAUGAUGGAAGAUAAGCUUCAUCAUCGAGAGGCCGAAAAACAGCUCGGAUCACCAGCUAAGGCCCCUAAAUGACCGGCCAGUGAUAAAAGAGGUAGGGGUACAGAAAUAGCCAAGAGAUUUGCUUAGAAGUAGCACCCUUGAAAGAGUAUGUAAUAGCUCAUUGAUCGAGUGCUCUUGCACCGAAGAUGAACAGGACUAAGCGAUCUGUCGAAGCUGUGGAUGUAAAAGUGCAUCGAUGGGGGAGCAUUCCGUCUUAGAGGGAAGCAUCCGCGCAAGCAGGUGUGGAUGAAGCGGAAGCAAGAAUAUCGGCUUGAGUAAUACAAAUAUUGGUGAGAAUCCAAUGUCCCAAAAACUUAAGGGUUCUUCCACAAAGUUCGUCCAUGGAGGAUGAGUCAGGAUUUAAGAUCAGGCUGAAAGGUGUAGUCGGUGGACAACAGGUGAAUAUUUCUGUACUACCCCUUAUUGGCUCUGAGGGACGGAGGCGGCUAGGUUAGCCGAAAGAUGGUUAUCGGUUCAAAGAUGCAAGGUGAUCCUAUUUUUUCAAGGUAAGAAAGGAUAGAGAAAAUAUCUUGAGCCAAUGCCUGAGUAUCAGGCACUACAGCACUAAGGUAACCCAUGCCAUACUCCCAGAAACAGCUCGAACAACCUUUAACAAAAGGGUACCUAUACCCGAAAUCAACACAGGUGGGUAGGUAGAGAAUACUUAGGGGCACGAGAUAACUCUUUUUAAGGAACUAGGCAAAAUAGCCCCAUAACUUCAGAAGAAGGGGUGCCUCCUCACAAAAGGGGUUGCUGCAGCUAUCAGGCUUGGGCGACUAUUUACCAAAAACACAUGUCUCUACAAAGUCAUAAAACCAUGUAUGGGGGUUGACGCCUGUCCAGUACUGGAAGGGCAAGAACGUUGAUGACCUGAUGACAGAAGAGCAGGCAAUCGUAGCCCUAGUGAAUGGCGGCGUAAUUAUAAUGAUCCUAAAGUAGUGAAAUUUCUUGUCAAGUAAGUUUCAACCCAUAUGAAAGGUGUAACGAUCUGGGCACUAUCUCGAAGAGAGAUUUAGUGAAAUAGACAUAUCUGUGAAGAUGCGGACUAUCUGUAUCUAGACAGAAAGAUCCUAUGAAGUUUUACUGUUCCUUGGGAUUAGCUUUCGACCUUUCCUGCAUAGCUUAGGUGGAAGGUAAAGAAGACCUCCUUCUGGGGGGCUCGAGCCAUCAGUGAGAUACCACUCUGAAAGAGCUAGAAUUCAAAUAUUGUGUCAGGACCUAUGGGCCAAAGAACAGUCUCAGGUAGACAGUUUUUAUGGGGCGUAGGCCUCCAAAAAGAUAACAGAGGCAUGCAAAAUUUUUUUUGGGUCAGACGAAGAUUGGCCCUCGAGUGCAAAGAUAGAAGGGAGCUUGAUUGCAAGACCCACCCAUCGAGUAGGGACAAAAGUCGGCCUUAGUGAUCCGAUGGUGCCGAGUGGAAGGACUGUCGCUCAAUGGAUAAAAGUUACUUUAAGGAUAAUGGCUGAUCUUCUUUAAGAGUUCACAUUGACAGAAAGAUUUGGCACCUCGAUGUCGGCUCUUCACCAACUGGGGCUAUAGUAUAUUCCAAGGGUUGGGCAAUUCGUCCAUUAAAGCAGUACGUGAGCGGGGUUCAGAACAUCGCGAGACAGUUCAGUUCAUAUCCGAUGUAGAUGUUGGAGCAUUUAGAGGACCUUUCCCUAGUAUGAGAGAAUCGAGAAGGACACAUCUCUGGUGCACCAAUUAUCAUCUCCACGAUAAGCCCAGUACGGAGUGAAUAACUGCUGAAGCAUCUAAGUAGUAAGCCCACCCCAAGAUAAGUGCUCUCCUAUUCCGACUUCCUCAGAGCCUCUUGUAGCACAGCCGAGACAGUGAUGGAUCCUUUGCCCUGAGGGGAUGGAGCGACAGAGGUAUCGAGAAUCCAAGAUACACACAUAUAUAUACAUAUAC
rnacentral:rRNA from 1 species